rnacentral:tRNA from 1 species
CCCUGUGGCUCAGUUGGUAGAGCAUGGUAUUUGCAACGCCAGGGUUGUGGGUUCGAUUCCCACCGGGG